AAAAUUGAUAGUUUAAAUAUUGCGAAAUCGAUUGCACGAUUUUCACAGUUUAAUGGCUGCUCGAUUGGCAAGAAAUUGAAUGCUCAAAUGUUCACACUUACAGCCCUACAAAAUAUUCUUUUCCAUAUUUGUAAACCACAUUUUUGGUUCGGUUUAGUUUUUGCGGUUUCAGGCAAAGCAUUUUGUGGUCUGGGGUAAGAAAUGUUGCAACCUUUUUUGUUGCAUAAAUGUGUAAAUAUUUAUAUAUGUAGGCGAGUCCUUUGCCUGUCUGCCUGCCAUGACAUACUUAGCUGGCUGCAAUCAAGGCACCGUCAUAUUUGGCCACAAUAUCUUGGGCUCAGCCCGACAGCACCCUGAAGAGCUGGAAAGUUACCUUAAUGAAAAACUAAAUUGUCAAUCAGCCAUGAAUUGAAUCAAAUGAAGUGUAAAAUUACAAUUUCAUCCAAUUUGCAAUUAACUCAAUGAGAAGAUGGCAACAAAAAAGAAAAAUAAAAAUCAGAAGAAGGAGAAGGAGAAGCAGCAUUUUUUUUUCCAAUUUCAAAUUAUUCCAAUGGAACGCACAUGCUGCAGCUGGACGAGUACGAAAGGGUCUGCCAUUGGCUCUGUGUGUGUGUGUGUGUGUGUGGCACUUUCACUGUGUACAACAAACUGCAGUUACAACAGCAUCAGAGGACAACACUUUUGCGGUGGCUCAAAUCGCUGACAUCAUUCGCGGACAGUUUCUUGCAGGGUUCUACCUUGCUGCUGCCACUGGAAAAGUGCAAGUUUAAUUGCAUUGAGUGUAACUAGUUAAUGGCUGAAACUGCAAAUUGAAAUGGUGACAAAGUAAUUGAGGUCAGCAACUCCCCGAAUGCCAGCAGCAGCAGCGGCAUCACCGACUACCAUCGAAGCGCUAAUUACAAAAACGAUCCGAACAGCACAGGACACUCUGCCGCUGCCAAUGGGGUCACUUGGCUGUGUCUUUUUUGGUGCCAGCAAUAACUGAAAAUAUCCAUGCACCCAGCCAGGCAGCAGCAAAAAAGUUGUGCGAAAUUGUCAAAGUUCUACGGUUAGUCCGCUCGGGGAACUGUCUCUCUGUCUGUCUGUCUGUCUGUCUGUCUCUGAAAACAUUUACAAAUUGAUUUUUUGUUGCCGCUGCUGUCAUGUUGCAAAAAUAUAUAUUUUUGGUCAGCCGCAAUGGGACUACCUAAAACACAACCAACCAACCAACCAACCGACCGACCACCUGAUGUAUUUAAUGGCACAAUAAUAAAAUGUCCAUAAUAAAACGCGCAAUUUGCAUUUGCACUAAAUGCGCGCUAAACAAAACUCAAAAAGCAGCUAAUGCCGCGGCAUUAACAUUUGGCAUUUGACUCUGACCCGCGGCCAAAUGCAUUUUAAUGCGACACGCAAAUCAGCGGAGCUUAGAUGCAACGAAAGCUAACGCUGCGUAUGCGCAAUGUGACAGCGGUUGAGGCUGAAUGUGCAAUGCAGGAGGCACUCAACCAAAAGUUGUGUAAGGUUCGACACUGCAGCAGACUGCAGAAAUGCCAGUGAAAUAUAUGGAGGAAUAAAGAAAACAAUUUGCAGAUUUUUAGGCAAUAUUUUUGUAGCUUUUAUUGAUAAUUUUUUGAGUUGAUUGCCAUGUUUGGAGUCCUUUGGCGCAGAGUGGGUACAUUUAGAGGUAUAUUUUCAUCACAUAUUAUUAAGUUAAUUUUCUAUUAUAAGCCGCCUCCGACUGUACCUUGCUAAAAGAAUUUGUUACCUUUUUUGCCACUUAAAAAUUACACAAAAAUGUCACAAAACAAAUAUCAAUAGAUAGGAGAUAACUCUUCAAAGCUGCGACACAAAUAAAUACAAUAAGCUUUUGCCACUUUAUUUGCGCUUAUCGAAAUAUACUCGAAUUAUGAUUAAUUUUUUCUUAAUUACAACCAAAUUAGCGCACUUUCAGCUGUUUGCAACAAUCAAUCAAUCAAUCAAACGCGUAUUAAGUUAAGCAUUCCCA
rnacentral:lncRNA from 1 species